CAAGGGCACUGAUCAUUAGGUAAGACUCCUGCCUCCUCGUUGCGUACAUUGGAGGUACUGUUAAUGUGAAUAUUUGCAAUUAUACGUGUCUCCUUCUGUUAGAGUGGGAUAUUAUGCCCUAGUAUCCCCUUUGCAUUACUGCAGGGGCUGCUGACUACUCAAAACUUCUCCUGGGACUGUUAAUAGGCACAAUGGCAGUUAUCAAUGGUUUUUUUCCCUCCCUGGCCUUGUUAAGCAAGUGCCCCACCCCAGCCUUAGUUUCCCAUGGCAUAAUAAAGUAUAAGCAUUGGAGUAUUCCAUGCACUUGUCCAUCAAACAGUGGUACAUACUCCCACCCCUUUUGCAUUGCGCCAGUAUGUAAAAUCACAGGUAGCCAUGGUGUCAUGCUUUAUAUACGAAGUCUUCCCUCUCUCUGCCCCUUGUGUGCCCUUGGCCCCUUUUUACAGACUAUUGCUCACAAUCUCAGGUGUCCAUAUAUCCAGCUAUUAGAUAAGAUUGUGCUGUCUCCCUCCUCCCUUCCCUCCGCCCUGCCCCUUUUGCCUCUUUGCUGGGUAAUGUUGACUGGACAAGGCCCUUUCUCUUGGACUUAAAAAAUUCUCAGUUGCACUUUCCUUGGUCCCACCCAUUAUACAUGAACCCCUCUACUUCCUUUCACAUUGCUUCUGAGUAUGCUGACUACCCAGAGCCCCUUCUGUGUUAUUAAUAAACACAGUACUGAUUAUCCCGUUUUUCAGCCCAUCAGUCCAAGAUCUCCCUACCACUUUGGUGUGUUUGUGCAGUGUUGACUAUGAAAAGCAGGCCUGAACUAGGUGGAUAAACCUUCACUCAUUUUCUUUCAUUUAUGAAUGAUCCCAGUUUCAAUUAUUGUCAGAUUCUGGGGACAAGAACCAUUCUUGCCCACCUGUGUUACUGCUUUACUGUGCAAAAUACUCAAGGCAAGUCAGACCCAGGGAGCUGGAUUGCCGUCCUUUAUUUUGUGUUUCCAGUAUACACUAUCAAAUUGUCUCCCCAGGAAGGAAGGUUGGCACUUUCUCUGCAUUCUUCUUUCCAGAGCAGAUUGCCUGGUUAAGAAUCUCUUGUUGUUCCCUUUGUAUAUUGUUAUUGUAAAGUGUCAAAUGCCAGGAUACAGCCAGAAAAAUUGCUGUUAUUAUUGUUAAAAAAAUUUUUUAAGAAAGACAUCUGGAUUGUAGGGUGGACUCGAUAACCUGGUCAUUAUUUUUUUGAAGCCAAAAUAUCCAUUUAUACCGUGUACCUGGUGACCAGUGUCUCUCAUUUUAACUGAGGGUGGUGGGUCUGUGGAUAGAACACUGACUCUUGCUAUUUUAAUAUUAUCAAAGACGUUCUAAAGUGGAACUCUUAAGAACAGUAUCUUUGUGUGGGCUUUACCAGCAUUCACUUUUAGAAAAACUACCUAAAUUUUAUAAUCCUUUAAUUUCUUCAUCUGGAGCACCUGCCCCUACUUAUUUCAAGAAGAUUGCAGUAAAACGAUUAAAUGAGGGAACAUAUGCAGUGGUGCUUUUAAAAAGCAUAUGCCACCUUUUUUAUUAAUCUGUUAUAUAAAAUGAAGCAUUUAAUUAUAGUAAUAAUUUGAAGUAGUUUGAAGUACCACACUGAGGUGAGGACUUAAAAAUUAUGAUUUCCCUAUUUUAUAAGAAAAAUAAGCCAAAAUUAAAUAUUCUUUUGGAUAUAAAUUUCAACAGUGAGAUAGCUGCCUAGUGGAAAUGAAUAAUAUCCCAGCCACUAGUGUACAGGGUGUUUUGUGGCAAAGGAUUAUGUAAUGUGGAACUGCUCAAGCAAAUAACUAGUCAUCACAACAGCAGUUCUUUGUAAUAACUGAAAAAGAAUAUUGUUUCUCGGAGAAGGAUGUCAAAAGAUCGGCCCAGCUCAGGGAGCAGUUUGCCCUACUAGCUCCUCGGACAGCUGUAAGAAGAGUCUCUGGCUCUUUAGAAUACUGAUUCCAUUGAAGAUACCACGCUGCAUGUGUCCUUAGUAGUCAUGUCUUCUUAGGCUCCUCUUGGACAUUCUGAGCAUGUGAGACCUGAGGACUGCAAACAGCUGUAAGAGGCUCCAAAUUCAGCAUAUCUUUCGAGAAUCUGGCCAAGCUCCAGCUAAUCUACUUGGAUGGGUUGCCAGCUAUCUGGAGAAAAAGAUCUUCCUCAGAGAACAGGCUUGUUGCUUUACAGUGUUAGCGAUCCAUUCCCUUUGACGAUCCCUAGGUGGAGAUGGGGCAUGAGGAUCUUCCAGGGGAAAAGCUCACUACCACUGGGCAACAACCCUAGGUCAGGAGGUUCUGUCAAGAUACUUUCCUGGUCCCAGAUAGGAAGAUAAAGCCUCAAAAACAACCACCACACGUCAAGCUCUUCAUUGUUCUUAUCUGCCAAAUCAUUAUACUUCCUACAAGCAGUGCAGAGAGCUGACUCUUCAGCAGGUCCAAGAAAUUGGAACACACUGAAGGAAGUCAGCCUUCCUACCUGAAGAUCAACAUGCCUGGCACUCUAGCACUUCAGGAUAGCUGAAUGAAUGUGUAUUUGUCUCUUUCUUGUCUUUGCUCUUUGUUCUCUAUCUAAAGUGUGUCUUACCCAUUUCCAUGUUUCUCUUGCUAAUUUCUUUCAUGUGUGCCUUUGCCUCAUUUUCUCUUUUUGUUCACAAGAGUGGUCUGUGUCUUGUCUUAGACAUAUCUCUCAUUUUUCAUUUUGUUGCUGUUUCUCUUUGCUGUCCUAGAUGUGGCUCUUCUUUCACGCUUUAUUUCAUGUCUCCUUUUUGGGUCACAUGCUGUGUGCUUUUUUCCUUUUCUUCUGUCUACCUGUCCUUUCUCUGCCUACCUCUCUUUUCUCUUUGUGAACUGUGAUUAUUUGUUACUUCUUCCCCUUCCUGUUCGUUUUAAAUUUCACCUUUUUUCUGAGUCUGGCCUCCUUUCUGCUGUUUCUACUUUUUAUCUCCCAUUUCUCGUUUCUGCAUUUCCUUUCUGCCUCUCUUGGGCUAUUUUCUCUCUCCUCCCCUGCAUGCCUCAGCAUCUCUUGCUGUUUGUGAUUUUCUAUUUCAGUAUGCAUCUCUGUUGGCUUGUGUUUCUUCUCUGCUUCUUCCCUUUCUACUCACCUUUGAGUAUUUCAGCCUCUUCAUGAAUCUAUCUCCCUCUCUUUGAUUUCAUGUAGUCUCUCCUUAAAUAUUUCUUUGCAUAUGUGGGCAAGUGUACGUGUGUGUGUGUCAUGUGUAGCAGAGGGGCUUCCUAACCCCUGCCUGAUAGGUGCAGAACGUCGGCUCUCAGAAUAAGCAUUGUGGAAGCGGUUCCUUAUGCCAGGCUGCCAUGUGAGAUGAUCCAAGACCAAAACAAGGCCCUAGACUGCAGUAAAACCCAAAACUCAAGUAGGACAGAAGGUGGAAGGCUCAUAUGGAUAGAAGGCCCGAAGUAGAAGACAGAUGGUUUGAGACUUGAGACCCAAGGACUAAGAUGGAAAGCCCAUGUUCCAAGAUAGAUAGAAGCCUCAGGCCUGAAACCAACAAAAGCCUCAAGAGCCAAGAAAACAGAGGGUGGCCUGAAUUGGACCGAAGGCCUGAGUUGGAUGGAAGUCUCAGGGCUUGAGUUAGAAAUCUUAAGACCUGGGACAGGACACAUGGAAGGCCUAAGAACUGAGACUUGUGACACAAGGCCAAAGACCUAAGAUUAGCCCAGGGUUGUAGCUGGAAGACCUACAACCCAAGGAUGGAAGGUCCCUGUCACAAAGCCUACCUAGAUGGAUAGAGGACCCAAGUGAAACAGGUAUCUCAAGACUAAAGGCCAGAAUCUGGAGGCCCAUGACCCAGAACCCAAGAAGGAUAGAAGCUUGAAGACCUGGGGAAAUCCCAAGAUGAGAACCCUAAACCCUACUUCUUUUCUAUUGUUUACACUUCUUACUCUUAGAUAUUUCCAGUUCUCCUGUUUCUCUUUAAGCCUGAUUCUUUUGAGAUGUACUUUUUGAUGUUCCAAGUUACCUUUAGAUUGACAGUAUUGUGCCCGGGCCAGUCUUGAGCCAGCUUUAAAUCACAGCUGUUACCUAUUUGUUAGGCUUUAGUGUUUUGUAAACUUCUGUUUCUAUUCACAUCUUCUCCACUUGAGAGAGGCACCAAAAUCCAGUCAGUAUCUAAUCUGGCUUUUGUUAACUUCCCUCAGGAGCAGGCAUUCAUAUAGAUGAUACUGUAUUUCAGUCCUCUCUUUUAACCCCAGAAGCCCUAGACUGAGAAGAUAAAAUGGUCAGGUUGUUGGGGAAAAAAAAGUGCCAGGCUCUCUAGAAAAAAAUGUGAAGAGAUGCUCCAGGCCAAUGAGAAGAAUUAGACAAGAAAUACACAGAUGUGCCAGACUUCUGAGAAGCACGUGCCAGCAACAGCUUCCUUCUUUGAGCUUAGGUGAGCAGGAUUCUGGGGUUUGGGAUUUCUAGUGAUGGUUACGGAAAGGGUGACUGUGCCUGGGACAAAGCAAGGUCCCAAGGGGAGAGCCUGAACUCCCUGCUCAUAGUAGUGGCCAAAUAAUUUGGUGGACUGUGCCAACCCUACUCCUGGGUUUAAUACCCAUCUCUAGGCUUAAAGGUGAGAGAACCUGGGACUAUUGAGCACAUUUAAUACUUUCCUUGAUUUUUUUCUUCCUGUUUAUGUGGGAAGUUGAUUUAAACGACCGAUAAUGUGUAUGAAAGCACUGUAAAACGUUAAGAGAAAAACCAAGGCGUGCUCCUUAUUAGUGUACUGGCAAUCAUGCAGUUAACAUUUGAAAGUGCAGUGUAAAUUGUGAAGCAUUAUGUAAAUCAAGGGUCCACAGUUUUUCUAUAAGGGGUCAAAUCAUAAAUACUUUAGACUGUGGGCCGUAUGGUUUCUGUUACAUAUUUGUUUUUUAAACAACCUUUUUAUAAGGUCAAAAUCAUUCUUAGUUUUUGAGCCAAUUGGAUUUGGCCUGCUGUUCAUAGCUUACCACCCCCUAAUGUAUUAUUUGUUAUUCAGAGAAAAUUUCUGAAUACUACUAGUUUCCUUUUCUGUGCCUGUCCCUGUGCUAGGCACUAAAAAUGCAAUGAUUAUUGACAUCUAGGUGACCUGAAAAAAAAUAGUGAAUGUGCUUUGUAAACUGUAAAGCACUUAUAUUCUACUGUGAUAAGCAUUGUGGGUACAAAGAAAGGAGCAAGCAUAAAAAAGUGCUCUUUCAAAAGGAUAUAGUACUAUGCAGACACAAGGAAUUGUUUGAUAAAUGAAUAAAUUAUAUGUAUAUUUGAGGCCAAUUUGUGUUUGCUGCUCUGGUAAUUUUGAGUAAAAAUGCAGUGUUCCAGGUAUCAGAAACGAAAACACAUGGGAACUGCUUUUAAACUUUAAAAUAGACUGAAAACAUAAGGGACUAAGCUUGUUGUGGUCACCUAUAAUGUGCCAGAUACCAUGCUGGGUGCUAGAGCUACCAAAGGGGGCAAAAUAUUCUCAUAGAACAAAAAAUUUCAGAAAGGUGCAUAUUAAAGUGCUUUGUAAACUAAAGCACGAUACAAAUGUCAAUGGGCUACAUAUUUAUGAAUGAAUGAAUGAAUGAAUGAAUAUUAAGUGCCUCUUACAUACCAGCUAUUUUGGGUACUGUAAAAUACAAGAUUAAUUCUCCUAUGUAAUAAGAGGAAAGUUUAUCCUCUAUACUAUUCAGAUGUAAGGAAUGAUAUGUUGCUUAAUUUUAAACAAUCAAGACUUUACUGGUGAGGUUACGUUAAAUUAUUACCGAUACAUUUUCCCAGGUAACCAGGAAAGAGCUAGUAUGAGGAAAUGAAGUAAUAGAUGUGUGAUCCAGACCAAAAGUCACUUCAUUCAGCUUGCGAAUGUGCUUUCUAAAUUAUAAAGCACUUGUAAAUGAAAAAUUUGAUGCUUUCUGUAUGAAUAAAACUUUCUGUAAGCUAGGUAUUGUCUCUACAAAAUUCUCAUUGUAUAGUUAAACCACAGUGAGAAGGGUUCUUUCUAUAAGUAGUUAUACAAACCAAGAGUUUAAAUACCUGUUAAAUAGAUCAAUUUUGAUUGCCUACUAUGUGAACUCACUGUUAAAGGCACUGAAAAUUUAUCAUAUUUCAUUUAGCCACAGCCAAAAAUAAGGCAAUACCUAUGUUAGCAUUUUGUGAACUCUAAGGCACCAUAUAAAUGUAACUGUUGAUUUUUUCACUUGGUGCUGAGUACUAGGUUUAUAAAAUUAUAUGAUAGUUAUUAUAUUGUGCAAAUUAGGAAAAGUUGAAUAACAAUGAUUAUCUUUUGAAUACGCAUAUGCAAGGGAUUGGUUGUCUGAAGAAUGCCACUACAGUGGUUAUCUAUUGUGUGCCAAUCUCAUUGCUAGGCAUUGGGGAUGCAAAGUUUCCAUCUUUAUUGUGUCUUGGGUAGCAGAAGAAAAUAUGUGUAAAAUCAAUUUAUAAUUUCUAAACUGCCACCCAUAUAUAAGCAAUAUCUGCUGAAUGAUCAUCGAUUACUCUUAUCCUUAGAGAUAACAACUGGGGGCACAAACAUUUAUUAUCAUUAUUGAACCUACAACAGAGAUCUAUGUGUAGAUUUACAAAGCCUACAGUUCUAUACAGAUAGGAAUGAACUAUUGGCUUACUGAAUGGUGAUUACUUUCUGUGGGGCUCGGAACUACAUGCCCUAGGAUAUAAAAAUGAUAUUAUCAUUAUAGAGUGCUCACAGAAGGAAAUGAAGUAAUAGGUGUGAGAUCCAGACCAAAAGUCACUUAACAAGUUUAUUCAGUGAUGAAAACAUGGGACAAAUGGACUAGUAUAAGGCAGUGUACUAAGUUAAGUAGAGAGCUAAAGUCCUGUCCAGAAGAUACAUGCUUCCUGGCCUGAUUGAGGAGAUGGAAAAUUUUUGCAAAAAACAAGGUGUUGUGGUCUUCCAUCCGUUUCUUAAGUGCUGAUGAUAGAAGUGAAUUAGACCCACCUUGGCCUGGCCUACAGACAGUAAAGGAGCAAAAAUAAAUGCCUCAGGCUUGCUUUUUGAUUCAUUUGUUAAACAAAGCAUCUUUUAUGUGGAAUAUACCAUUCUGGGUCCUGAGGAUAAGAGAGAUGAAGGCAUUAGAUCACUGACAGCUGAAGAUAGAAGAACAUCUUUGGUUUGAUUGUAUAAAUAAUAUUUCAGUGCCUAUUCUCUGCAAGGUACUAUGUUUGGUAAAUUAGUAAAUUAAAUAGGUCUGGCCCAGAAAACCCACUCAAUUGCCUUUGAGAUUUAAAAAAAAAGAAAGAAAAAGGCAAGUUUCUUUCAAAAUAAAGACAUUUUUCCUAGUUUCAGGAGUCUCCCAAAUCACUUGCUCAUUGGCUUAAUUUGAAGCCAGGAGACUGAUAAAAGGGCUCAGGGUUUGUUCUUUAAUUCAUUAACUAAACAUUCUGCUUUUAUUACAGUUAAAUGGUUCAAGAUGAAACAACUAGUUUUAAAGGUAUUUGCUCAUUGGUCUGGCUUAGAGACAGGAAGACAUUUGAGCAAUAAAAAAAAUUCUUUUGCAUUUACCAAUUUAGUAAAAAUUUAUUAAAACUGAGUAAAGUGCUGUUCUUAAGUGCUUGAAAGACCUAAACCAAAGUGCACUUUAUCUCAUUUAUCUUAUGGUGGAAACACAGGAACAAAUUCUCUAAGAGACUGUGUUUCUUAGUUGAGAAGAAACUUCAUUGAGUAGCUGUGAUAUGUUCGAUACUAAGGAAAAACUAAACAGAUCACCUUUGACAUGCUCUGUAGAGUGGGAAUAAGAGAGGGCUUUUUGUUUUUUCAUUCAUAUGAAUAUUGAUGAAGAUGAUACUAAAUGCUAAACGAAAUAUAUCUGCUCCAAAAGGCAUUUAUUCUGACUUGGAGAUGCAACAAAAACACAAUAAAUGGAAUGAAGUGAUACUCUUCAUCAAACAGAAGUGACUGUUAUGUCAACCAUUUUGUUAAAUCCUAGACAGAAAACAAAAAAAAUCAUAACGAAAAGACACUUGCUUAUUAAUUGGCUUGGAAAGUAGAAUAUAGGAGAAAGGUUACUGUUUAUUUUUUUUUCAUGUAUUCAUUCAUUCUACAAAUAUAUUUGGGUGCCAAUAGGUACUUGGUAUAAGGUUUUUGGCCCCAGAGACAUGGGAAAAAAAUGCAUGCCUUCCCAGAGAAUGCCUAAUACUUUCCUUUUGGCUUGUUUUCUUGUUAGGGGCAUGGCUUAGUCCCUAAAUAACAUUGUGUGGUAUAAUUCCUACUCCGUAUCUCGUCUACCACUCUGGCCACUACGAUAAGCAGGUAGCUGGGUUUUGUAGUGAGCUUGCUCCUUAAGUUGCAGGAACUCUCCUUAUAAUAGACACUUCAUUUUCCUAGUCCAUCCCUCAUGAAAAAUGACUGACCACUGCUGGGCAGCAGGAGGGAUGAUGACCAUCUAAUUCCCAAACCCCAGUCUCAUUGGUACCAGCCUUGGGGAACCACCCAUACUUGAGCCACAAUUGGUUUUGAAGUGCAUUUACAAGGUUUGUCUAUUUUCACUUCUUUACUUUUUACGUGCUGACACAUACCUACACUGCCUAAAUCUCUCGCAGAAACAAUCCUCAGAUAACGCAUAGCAAAAUGGAGAUGGAGACAUGAUUUCUCAUGCAACAGCUUCUCAAAUUAUACCUUAGAAAUGUUCUCCUUUUUAUCAUCAAAUCUGCUCAAGAAGGGCUUUUUAUAGUAGAAUAAUAUCAGUGGAUGAAAACAGCUUAACAUUUUGCUGUGCUUAAGUUUUAAGAAUAAAAUAAAAAUUGGAAAUAAUUGGCCAAAAUUGAAAGGAAAAUUUUUUAAAUUUCUCUAAAUGUAGGCCUGGCUGGGCUUUGACCUUUUCCAUUUUUAAAUCACUCACAGAGGGUGGGACAGGAGGAAGAGUGAAGGAAAAGGUCAAACCUGUUUUAAGGGCAGCCUGCCUUUGUUCUGAAUUGGUCUUAAGAACAUUACCAGCUCCAGGUCUAAAUUGUUUAGUUUCAUGCAGUUCUAAUAGCUGAUCAUUGUUGAGAUGAGGACAAAAUCCUUUGUCCUCACUAGUUUGCUUUACAGUUUUGAAAAGUAUUAUUUUUGUCCAAGUGCUUAUCAACUAAACCUUGUGUUAGGUAAGAAUGGAAUUUAUUAAGUGAAUCAAUGUGACCCCUCUUGUCAUAAGAUUAUCUUAAAGGUGAAGCCAAAAUAUGCUUCAAGAGAAGAGGACUUUAUUGUUCAUUGUAGUUCAUACAUACUUUCAAAGCAUCUAAACUGUAGUUUCUAUGGCAAGCCAAUUACAUCCAUAAGUGGAGAAAUAAAUAGAUAAAUGUCAAAGUAUGAUUGGUGGAGGGAGCAAGGUUGAAGAUAAUCUGGAGUUGAAAUUUUCUAGUUUUCGUUCUGUACAUUUUUAGUUAGACAUCAGAUUUGAAAUAGUAAUGUUUAUCUUUCAAUGUGUGGUAUCAGCUGGACUCAGUAACACCCCUUUCGUCAGGUGGGGAUGGGGAAUGCAUUAUUGGAAAAUGGAAAGAAGAAAGUAACUAAAAGCCUUCCUUUCACAGUUUCUGGCAUCACUACCACUACUGAUUAAACAAGAAUAAGAGAACAUUUUAUCAUCAUCUGCUUUAUUCUCAUAAAUGAAGUUGUGAUGAAUAAAUCUGCUUUUAUGCAGACACAAGGAAUUAAGUGACUUCGUCAUUGCCCUUCUACCUCAAAGAGAAUUUAUUCCAAAAUGCUAAGAUAAAUGGAAGACUCUUGAACUUGUGAACUGAUGUGAAAUGCAGAAUCUCUUUUGAGUCUUUGUUGUUUUGAAGAUUGAAAAAUAUUGUUCAGCAUGGGUGACCACCAAAAAGUAAUCUUAAGCCAUCUAGAUGUCACAAUUGAAACAAACUGGGGAGUUGGUUGCUAUUGUAAAAUAAAAUAUACUGUUUUGAAAACUUU